AGAAUCAACGCUGGCGGCGUGCCUAACACAUGCAAGUCGAACGAGAAAGUGGAGCAAUCCAUGAGUAAAGUGGCGCACGGGUGAGUAACACGUGACUAACCUACCUUUUAGUGGGGGAUAACCUAGGGAAACCUGGGCUAAUACCGCAUAACACUUACGAGUCAAAGCAGCAAUGCGCUGAAAGAGGGGGUCGCGGUCGAUUAGUUAGUUGGCAGGGUAAUGGCCUACCAAGACUGUGAUCGGUA
rnacentral:rRNA from 1 species